rnacentral:lncRNA from 1 species
GCUGACAGAAUGGCUUUGGAGUCCAAGUAACUUGUGUGAAGGAGGAAUAGAUUGUUGAUAUUAUUUGAUUAAUAUGGGGAUGAUUUUAGUAGGGUUGGUGUUUCUGAUGAAAACAUCCUAAUAAAAAAUCAGAUCGUCAGGUUUUCAGUUUUUAUCUUGUUCUAAUCGUUCCAAUGAUUGCAUAUUGAUUUGCAGAAUUUGGAUGAAGAAAAGAGAUCGCUUGAGUUACACAAAGUUGAAUAAAUUUUUAGUCUUCCGGAAAAAGGGAAGAUUUUUCUUGACGAAGGAUGAAGUCUUGAAACAGUGAGAGUUGUCGCAGGCCGUAGAAAUUAAUGAUGAUAAUUCCGGUGUGAUGCUUUGCAAGCAACGCAUGAAGACCACAUGUCCAUGUUACUAUUGAUAUAUCUCCACAUGUGUUAACAAAUAAACCUUAUCUUUUUAAUAGUGUGAGGAAUGGACAAAGAAAAUGUUGUAUUUGGG